rnacentral:rRNA from 1 species
UACGAAAGGGGCAAGCGUUGCUCGGAUUCACUGGGCUUAAAGGGCGCGUAGGCGGCUUUGUAAGUCCGAGGUGGAAUUCCACAGCUUAACUGUGGAACUGCCUUGGAAACUGCAAGGCUUGAGUCAGGUAGAGGGAGGCGGAAUUCCCGGUGUAGCGGUGAAAUGCGUAGAUAUCGGGAGGAAGGCCGGUGGCGAAGGCGGCCUCCUGGGCCUGCACUGACGCUGAGGCGCGAAAGCGUGGGGAGCAAACAGG